rnacentral:rRNA from 1 species
ACGCUGGCGGCAGGCCUAACACAUGCAAGUCGAGCGGCAGCGGGAAGUAGCUUGCUACUUUGCCGGCGAGCGGCGGACGGGUGAGUAAUGUCUGGGAAACUGCCUGAUGGAGGGGGAUAACUACUGGAAACGGUAGCUAAUACCGCAUGACCUCGCAAGAGCAAAGUGGGGGACCUUCGGGCCUCACGCCAUCGGAUGUGCCCAGAUGGGAUUAGCUAGUAGGUGAGGUAAUGGCUCACCUAGGCGACGAUCCCUAGCUGGUCUGAGAGGAUGACCAGCCACACUGGAACUGAGACACGGUCCAGACUCCUACGGGAGGCAGCAGUGGGGAAUAUUGCACAAUGGGCGCAAGCCUGAUGCAGCCAUGCCGCGUGUGUGAAGAAGGCCUUAGGGUUGUAAAGCACUUUCAGCGAGGAGGAAGGCGUUGCAGUUAAUAGCUGCAGCGAUUGACGUUACUCGCAGAAGAAGCACCGGCUAACUCCGUGCCAGCAGCCGCGGUAAUACGGAGGGUGCAAGCGUUAAUCGGAAUUACUGGGCGUAAAGCGCACGCAGGCGGUUUGUUAAGUCAGAUGUGAAAUCCCCGAGCUUAACUUGGGAACUGCAUUUGAAACUGGCAAGCUAGAGUCUUGUAGAGGGGGGUAGAAUUCCAGGUGUAGCGGUGAAAUGCGUAGAGAUCUGGAGGAAUACCGGUGGCGAAGGCGGCCCCCUGGACAAAGACUGACGCUCAGGUGCGAAAGCGUGGGGAGCAAAC